GUCAUGGACUAGGCCCUUGGUGACUGAUAGCUAUGCAGAAUUGUGUCUUACUAGAGUUAUGAAAAUAAGGGUCACAAGAUGGCUUCUCGCCCCCGAGCAUCAUAUUCUCACAACAUUAUCAAGAUUCAACACAGAGAAGCUUCUGGGGUGCAGUCAUCCUGCCAACUUCCCUUGGAAGAAAGAAGCAAUUGACAUGUAUCUUCAACUGCUGUUUGCUUAAUCACGAAAGAACUAUUUCAAAAGCUGAAGGCAGAUGUCUGGUUUGAAACAGAUGCUUUGAUGGUGAUAUUUGUGACUUCUUUACCUUUUGUUCCAAACAAGAAGACUAAAUAUAAAUAGCAGAUAUCGGUAUGACAUCAGGGUUUUGGUUUUUUUUUUUAACAUCUUCCAGUUUUAACCACUAUCAUGACAAGCACAUUUGAGACUUGCAGCAAUAAAUUCCAGAUAUAUGUUCUAAUUUGAAGUGAAAGAGAUGCUUUAAAAGUGACAUAUGUAUCUAAAUCCUGGCUCAUCCUUUGACAUGGAUUUACUAGAUAAGAACAAAGGUCCCAUUUUGCAAUAAAACCUUUGAUGUGAUAAAGAAGCAAAAAGACAAGAUAUCACAAGGUUACUUUCAUAUGUGAAUAAGCCAUCACAAACAUAUAAAUACCUAUUUUUACAUAUGUAAGUCCACAGUUUGGGAUAAUAAGAGGAAUUUUUCUCCUGAAGAAGGAAGCUGUGGUUGACUUCAUUCUCAGAAAUCUUUGGAUAUUUGGUAUUUUUAAAUGUUUUUUUCAUUCAUCUAAGGAAUGACCACAUUGUGAAGAUGCUAACCCUAUGAAUGCAUGCUUGGGUUUAGUGAAAUAUUGGUAAAAAGGAAACAGCAGUUUUGACUCUGGUGAUGGAACCCUCUUCACCUCGGUAGCAUGAGAGACCUACUGUAUUAUAAAUUGCUUCAUUCUUUUUUGCGGAGUCUUAUAUAGCACUUGUGGAGAAAGA